UACGUAGGGUGCGAGCGUUUAAUCGGAAUUACUGGGCGUAAAGCGUGCGCAGGCGGUUUUGUAAGCCAGAUGUGAAAUCCCCGGGCUCAACCUGGGAAUGGCGAUGGAGACUGCAAGGCUAGAAUCUGGCAGAGGGGGGUGAGAAUUCCACGUGUAGCAGUGAAAUGCGUAGAGAUGUGGAGGAACACCGAUGGCGAAGGCAGCCCCCUGGGUCAAGAUUGACGCUCAUGCACGAAAGCGUGGGGACAAACGAGGAUUACGAAACCC
rnacentral:rRNA from 1 species